GACGAACGCUGGCGGCAUGCCUAACACAUGCAAGUCGAACGAGACCUUCGUGUCUAGUGGCGCACGGGUGCGUAACGCGUGGGAACCUGCCCUUAGGUUCGGCAUAACUCCCCGAAAUGGGUGCUAAUACCGGAUACUGUCUUCGGACCAAAGCUUUAUCGCCUUUGGAUGGGCCCGCGUUGGUUUGGCGGGUUGGUAGGGUAAAAGCCUACCAAGGCGACGAUCCAUAGCUGGUCUGGGAGGAGGAUCAGCCACACUGGGACUGAGACACGGCCCAGACUCCUACGGGAGGCAGCAGUGGGGAAUAUUGGACAAUGGGCGAAAGCCUGAUCCAGCAAUGCCGCGUGAGUGAUGAAGGCCUUAGGGUUGUAAAGCUCUUUUACCCGGGAUGAUAAUGACAGUACCGGGAGAAUAAGCUCCGGCUAACUCCGUG
rnacentral:rRNA from 1 species